GAAGAUGUCUUAAGCUUUGCUCUAGCCUACAACAUGAUUGUAGCUAACACCCUCUUUAGAAAGAGAGAAUCACAUCUGGUGACUUUUAGUAGUGGCCAACACUCUAGCCAGAUUGAUUUCAUCCUCUCGAGAAGAGAAGAUAGGCGUACAUGCCUAGACUGUAAGGUGAUACCUGGGGAGAGUGUUGUACCCCAGCAUAAGCUGGUGGUUGCUGACUUCCGCUUUCGAAUUCGUGUCCAGCGGGAUAAGCGUGCCAAGGUCACUAGAAUGAAGUGGUGGAAGCUCAAGGGGGAGGUAGCUCAGGUGUUCAAGGAGAGGGUAUUUAAGGAGGGCCCUUGGGAGGAAGGAGGGGAUGCGGACAAUGUGUGGAUGAAGAUGGCGACUUGCAUUCGUAAGGUGGCCUCGGAGGAGUUUGGAGUGUCCAGGGGAAGGAGAAGCAAAGAUAAGGAUACCUGGUGGUGGAAUGAUGAUGUCCAGAAGGUGCUUAAAGAGAAGAAAGAUUGCUUCAGACGCCUAUACCUGGAUAGGAGUGCAGACAACAUAGAGAAGUACAAGAUGGCGAAGAAGGCCGUAAAGCGAGCUGUUGGUGAAGCAAGGGGUCGGGCAUAUGAGGACCUCUACCAACGGUUAGGCACGAAGGAAGGUGAAAGGGACAUCUAUAAGAUGGCU
rnacentral:rRNA from 1 species